rnacentral:rRNA from 1 species
UACGUAGGGUGCAAGCGUUAAUCGGAAUUACUGGGCGUAAAGCGUGCGCAGGCGGCUUUGCAAGACAGAUGUGAAAUCCCCGGGCUUAACCUGGGAACUGCAUUUGUGACUGCAUGGCUAGAGUGCGGCAGAGGGGGAUGGAAUUCCGCGUGUAGCAGUGAAAUGCGUAGAUAUGCGGAGGAACACCGAUGGCGAAGGCAGUCCCCCGGGCCUGUACUGAC